UACGUAGGGUGCGAGCGUUAAUCGGAAUUACUGGGCGUAAAGCGUGCGCAGGCGGUUCGUUGUGUCCGUCGUGAAAGCCCCGGGCUUAACCUGGGAACUGCGAUGGAAACUAGCGAGCUGGAGUGUGGCAGAGGGGGGUGGAAUUCCACGUGUAGCAGUGAAAUGCGUAGAGAUGUGGAGGAACACCGAUGGCGAAGGCAGCCCCCUGGGCUGAGAUUGACGCUCAGGCACGAAAGCGUGGGGAGCAAACAGG
rnacentral:rRNA from 1 species